CAGAAUCUAAAGGAUAAAUCUAUACGUUAUUAAUCAAGCUAAAUACCCUUCCCCACUCUUACCUUAUUUCGAAUUCACAUAACCAACUCCUAAAGAUCACACAAACUAACCGUCAUUGACUAAGUCCUUCUAACUUUGUUCUCAUCAUUCAAAUUACGAAGUUGUAAUCUCCAUCAUUAUCUUUUCUUGAUUUUGAAAAGUCCAGCAAGUAUUAUCCAAAGAAAAAAAGAAAGAAAAAGAAUCUAAACUAAACUCUAUCAUUGAGUCUCAAACUAUACAGCCGUACUCUCCGCAACUUACUCAACUGAUUACCCAAAGUCCACCAAUCACAGUGGAUCCUUAACCCUAUGAGAUUAUCUUAUAAUCUAACUAUAAAUACCUCUUACUUGACUCCCUCGUCACAUUUGGCAAACCUCUUAUAACUCAAUUCAUCAGAGACGCAACUUUCAAAUUACCAAACCACACAUCGAUAACCGAAGCAAGUGUCGGCUCACGUUCGGCACAACCGAAUCACCAUCAACCUAUACCGAAAAUCACCGCGAAAAACACCAGCUCGUAGUCCUCACAUCCCUCUAUAUCCACAAUCUUCCAUCUCUAAAAACCGAUCAUAAACAAAGAGUACGUAGAGCGUGAAGAGACCUACUAGUGAUCGUUUUGUACAGUGAUUUGUGAAGCUAAACUUAAUAAGGUAUGCAUGGCACGUCAUGAGCGGCCGUUUCACAACAGUAGUAGCAAGUUAUUAAUAACGUAGAUCACCUAAAGACAAUCAGUUGGAUUUUAUUUAAUUCAGUUUGUAACUACAUUUUGGGUAGUUGGUUUAAGUUAUCUAAUUGUGACAAUGUUGGUUUAUUUAUAAAGGAUGGAUUGUUGAUGGAUAAUAUAGCCUUACAUUUGGGUUGUAACCUAAAUGUGGCGGUAAUACCCUUAA